UAAACGAGAUUAGUAUGUUAACACAAUAAUUAUAUACAAUAAAAUAUAUUAAAUUUAAAAGUAAAUAAUGCUGCGUUCCAGGCAGGGUUUUUAGCCUGUGAAUCAUGACUUUAAUACCACGACUCUGAACUGGGAGGACCCGUUCCAGGCAGCUUGGUUAACCCGUGUUUUUCAACCUUCUACCCGUGGAAGUGCACUGGCAGUCAACCCCGUGACUUCACACUCAUGAACUAGUACUAGAUCGAUGUAAUCCCAGUUCAGAGUCGUAAGUCAUGGUUUUAAAAGUUGUGAUUUAGGGGUUAUAGGUUGCCUGGAACGCGGCAUACGGUCCUUCAAGGCGGGGACUCGGUCUUCAAAGGGUGCAGCCUUCGAACUCCACGAAGCGAAGUGAAAGCCUACGAGGCGAGGAGCUGCGUCACUUUACUGUUGCCGCCGCCCACCAGGCCUAGGGAAGAGGACAUCCAACAAUCCUCUGGGAAGUUUUAAUAACACUUUGAAGUGUUUUCUUCUGUACAGUAUGUUAGGAUGCUCUCAAUGGAGCUCUGAUAAAAGGACAUCAGCAGUCUUGGGGUUAGGUUGUUUUUUUCUGAGCACCUCUGUUGAGCAUUUUUCAGCACCUCAGAGGUAUUUACACCUCAAGUGAGAUCCUCCUCAAU